rnacentral:miRNA from 1 species
AAAUGGACCACAAAGAACGC